GGAGGCUUCUACAAGUCUUCCAUAACUCCCAAAUAAUUCAGAGUCCACUCAGCUUGAUGUUGAUGGGAAAGAGUGGAGCACCAUAGCAUUUGGCUGGAAGGUCCAUUUCUCCAUUACAAUGACAACCAAUGGUCCCAAUAUUCUGUCCCGUAUUACAAUGACUUCGUCAAAAAUCGUAAUUUAUCACAUGUUUCCAUCGCGAAGGAUAAAAACAGAAUCGAAGACUUU
rnacentral:misc_RNA from 1 species